rnacentral:rRNA from 1 species
UGGGGAAUCUUGCGCAAUGGGCGAAAGCCUGACGCAGUAACGCCGCGUGCGGGAUGAAGGCCCUCGGGUUGUAAACCGCUUUCAGUGGGGACGAACCAAGACGGUACCCACAGAAGAAGCCCCGGCCAACUACGUGCUAGCAGCCGCGGUAACACGUAGGGGGCAAGCGUUGUCCGGAUUUAUUGGGCGUAAAGAGCUCGUAGGUGGUUCGGUAAGUCGGGUGUGAAACCUCCAGGCUCAACCCGGAGACGCCACCCGAUACUGCCGUGACUAGAGUCCAGUAGGGGAGCGUGGAAUUCCUGGUGUAGCGGUGAAAUGCGCAGAUAUCAGGAGGAACACCAGCGGCGAAGGCGGCGCUCUGGGCUGGGCACUGACACUGAGGAGCGAAAGCGUGGGGAGCGAACAGGAUUAGAUACCCUGGUAGUCCACGUCGUAAACGUUGGGUACUAGGUGUGGGGUCUUAUCAACGGAUUCCGUGCCGAAGCUAACGCAUCAAGUA